GGUUCGAUGGUGUAGUUGGUUAUCACUUCUGUCUAACAAUUAGAUGCAUUUAGUGUUGACUUGUAACACAGGCGGUCCUCAGUUCGAACCUGGGUCGAAUCA